GACGAACGCUGGCGGCGUGCUUAACACAUGCAAGUCGAACGGAAAGGCCCUGCUUUUGUGGGGUGCUCGAGUGGCGAACGGGUGAGUAACACGUGAGUAACCUGCCCUUGACUUUGGGAUAACUUCAGGAAACUGGGGCUAAUACCGGAUAGGAGCUCCUGCUGCAUGGUGGGGGUUGGAAAGUUUCGGCGGUUGGGGAUGGACUCGCGGCUUAUCAGCUUGUUGGUGGGGUAGUGGCUUACCAAGGCUUUGACGGGUAGCCGGCCUGAGAGGGUGACCGGCGACAUUGGGACUGAGAUACGGCCCAGACUCCUACGGGAGGCAGCAGUGGGGAAUAUUGCACAAUGGGCGGAAGCCUGAUGCAGCAACGCCGCGUGCGGGAUGACGGCCUUUGGGUUGUAAACCGCUUUCGCCUGUGACGAAGCGUGAGUGACGGUAAUGGAUAAAGAAGCACCGGCUAACUACGUG
rnacentral:rRNA from 1 species